GGCAAAAAAGUGCAGAAACUCUGACCAUAAUUUAUUAUGUGUACAAUUUGCAGGCUAAAUAUAUUGAAAAUUGAGAAUUGGAUAUCUUCAUAUAUUCAUCAAAAUUUUGUCUUAUUUAAUUUUUGAUUCCCUUUUUUUAUAUAAGAUUCUACCUUUGCUGUUCAUGUCAAAAUAUAUUUAGGUAAAAUAUUUGAUCCCCAAAUUCACAAAAAGACACCUUUACAAUUUUAUACAUUAUAUUGAUUUUGCAAGUACAAUUAAGUACAAGUAAUGAAAUUACUUAAAAAUGACUUAAAUAUUACUUGAAAUUGCUUAUGUAACCUGUUUUUAUUUAAGUUUCAAACUGUACAUAGAUAUGAUUUAUUAUUCUUGGGAUUUAUCAAUUAAUUAAUAUAUUAAUAUGUAGAAUAUUAAGCAUAUCAGUUCCUUUUACUCAUCUGAUUAUAUCAUGAAUUUGAUGUAUGUAAUUAUGCUAUAGUAUUGUGUGUUGGGUGAGAGAAAUCUUUGUGUAAGAGUCUGCAAGAUAACAGAGCUGAUGUGUUUCUGGUUUUUUAUGCUUUGUACUGUGGAAUUAUCAGACAGCUUCUUUGAGUAACUUUGAAUUACAAACAAUGUUUAUUUUCUGUCGGAUAUAAUUAAAUUAUUUCUUUUUUUUUUUAGCCGAAUGAAAUCACCCGUUGUUCUUGAUUUGUGGUCCAAAAAGACCUAUUCAUUUUUUGAAAAUUAAUAUUCAAAAGUUUGUUCUUUUAAGGUAUAAUGGUCAUCAGGCUACCUCAAUUACAACAUUGGGGGCCUUUCCAGUGUUUCCGAGCCUGUCGGAAAGGCCGGAGAAGUUCCGAUUGCUAGUUUCCCAUCUGAUCAACCUUAAAAUAUAUGAAUGUGAUUUUGUUAUUACUUUUUUUUUUUUUAAUCCAAAUUAACUUUGGCUUAAUUGUUAAUUUGGAUUUGAAAAGAGCUCUUUUUUCCCAGGAGGUUAGAAAAGUAUAGAAAAUUGCCAGUAUCAACCAACCCUUUAAAACUAUUCCACAGUAUUUGGCAUUAUGUCAAACCAAACCGUCUCUGCCCUGUUACAACCAUUGUAUGCUUCACUAUGUCAUUGAUUAUGUUAAAUUUCAUCAACUUUCUUUUUCAGUGUCAGUAAAAUUCUAUUUAGAUUUCUUUCUUUUGCUUAAAUAGUCAAUAUAGUAGGGGUGUUUUUUUGUUUUUGUUUGUAAUUUAGAAAGAUUUUAAUCUCCUUAAAUGGAGGUCGGUAUUUUUUUUUGUUCGAUUAUUUUUAGUACUCUUAGGAAAAAACUUGGUACACAUCAGGUUUGAUUGACUUCGAUAGUGAUCAGAAAUAUUUUAUUUUUCUGGCAUUUAUUCAUUUAUUUUCAUUGUUGAUCGAUAGGUAUGUACAUAAGGAAUGUACUUCACAUAGCUUGUAAUGAAGGAAGUGACUUAAUUAUUUCUUACAUGUAUUCUGGAUUUUAAUUAUUUCAAUCUGUGUGUUAAAACUUCGAACCUCAUUAAAAUCUCGUUUAUUAC
rnacentral:sRNA from 1 species